GAAGUUACCAUGGAAGUGGAGAAUGACUAGGGAUAAGGAUUUUACAUUGAACAUUUUAGUAGAAUUUGUUAAGUUUUAGUUUAUCGUUUUUUUUUUUUUNUUAUGAUACUAUUUUAGUUUUGGCAAGUUGACUUUGAAAUUAGUUUAAAUUUUCUUUAUAAAUCAAGAAAUUAUUAUUUUACUAUCUUUUGUUUCUCUA
rnacentral:lncRNA from 1 species